rnacentral:rRNA from 1 species
UACAGAGGGGGCAAGCGUUGUUCGGAAUUACUGGGCGUAAAGGGCUCGUAGGCGGCCAACUAAGUCAGCCGUGAAAUCCCUCGGCUUAACCGGGGAACUGCGUCUGAUACUGGAUGGCUUGAGUUUGGGAGAGGGAUGCGGAAUUCCAGGUGUAGCGGUGAAAUGCGUAGAUAUCUGGAGGAACACCGGUGGCGAAGGCGGCAUCCUGGACCAACACUGACGCUGAGGAGCGAAAGCCAGGGGAGCAAACGGG